AUGGUACAGAAGAAGAACUUCCAGCCCAACAAGUUCAAAAACAACAAGAACAAAACUCAGGGCAAAGGCAAGUUUGAUACAAAGAACAAGCCGUCACAUUCUACCAACUUCAAGAAGAAUUCUCAUAAGAAAGGGAAGGGACUUUGCCAUGUCUACAGUGAUCCUAAUCACUGGGCUCCGAAGUGUCCUAACCGCUUUGAGGAGCACGGACAUGAGAAGAGCGACAAGUCCACUAAUGUUGUCAUCGGUGAUACUGAUAUGAAGGAAUCUGGGUACGGUCACAGGGACUUCUCCCGUGCUGAUGGGGAACGGGUCACAUGGCAUCGUUCGAGGUGUUGGUAUGGCCGAUCUAAAGUUUACUUCGGGGAAGACCAUGCGUCUGAAGAACGUUCAUCAUGUGCCAUCCAUCAAUAA
rnacentral:rRNA from 1 species